ACUUCUCUGCGCUCGGAAAGAACAGGAGACACCUGCUUCUUCAAAGAGCCACAGCUGCACAAGCACGGAGCCCGCACAGAAGCCGCCAGAUGUCCGCUUCCUUUGCGGGGUUGGCCGGAGGGCGCGGGCAGGGGGUACUGGUAAGAGAGGAAGACUGAAAUAACAGGAGCGCACAGUCCAGACCUCAGUACGUGGCGACCACGGAGAAUGGAACGAACAGCUUCUUCUGGUGAAAGGAAUAAGCACACUCACUGCCCCCCCUGCAAUCCUGGAAGUAGAGGGGAGCAGAGACGGAACGCCAGGGGAGAAUAACCCAAUAGCACAACCAGGGUCACCAGCCAGUGUCACUGAGUCUCAACUGGAAACAACCAAGGUGCCCAAGUGAAGCAGCUGAAAAACGGACGCAGCGGGAGAGCAGCAGUUUCCUGGGGCACAGCACAAGAGAGCAUUCGGUGACAUUCCCGAUCACGUGAAAACCACGAGGCAAAAUCAUACAGCAAAAAUCACAAAGCUCCAGGAUCAACGUGUGCAUAAAGCAAAGGGUGUUUUGAGCCCAGAGGAUAGAUGCUCACACCCAAGCACAGAUGGAGAGGAUCAGAUGAGAUCGAUUCUAGCAAACCUUAACUGCACAGCUGGACCGUACAUCCUCCUCUGACCUGUGCUGAACGAGAGAGGAGUGAUGGUCUGGGUGGCGCCCUCCUCUGCGGUGGUACCUAAGUGACUGACGUCACUUCCACCUACAAUCUCAUGGCCUAAAUGCGUCAAAGAGCCCCAGCUCACUGCAAGUGGGCCAGGAAGCAUGAAAGACUCGCGCUGCCAAGACAACAGAGGAUCGCUGCAUUGAUUAGUUAGUGAUGCCUUCACCAAACCAGAGGAGGGAUUCUGCAUGUUGCCUGACCCAUCAUUAGAAAGCUACAGAGGAACUGUUUUACCUGGAGCAAUUCGUACAAUAAUUUCAUCUCCAGCUUUCAACAAUUCCAAACACAGAAACAGGCAUAUUUUUUGAAAAAAAAUAUAUAUAAUGCUACACAUUUUGCUGAUUAUGCAAUGACCUAAACCUAGCAUCUGAUAACAGUGGAGGAGCCUGGCAGUAUCAUUAUCAGUCUCUCAAAUGUUGUUACCCAACAGCUUAAAGGACAGGCUCUACUGUGAGCAAUGAGCGUUUACCAGGAUACGAUGAUGACCCACUGAUCUGAUUAUUCUCGUGUCAGUCUCUGCUACAAGGACCUCCCGAAAUUCAUUCAAGAGCCUUUCAAUACUCAUUUAUUACUUUGCUUACUGCUUGGCCUAUUUUCACAGCAAAAAAUGGACCCUAAAAAUAGUAUUUUACUCUCUGAACUAUAUCUUUAAAGUUAGAAACCUAUGUUUAGGAAUGCCUGGUUCAUUAAACAUAAUUUUAUUAUACAUAAUUUUUAGAUACUUAAGACCAAUGAAAAUUUUGUCAGCUUUGAGCUUAAUAAGUCUCAGUAUUUUAAAACCACCUCAGUUCACGAACAGAAUAAAGAGUUAUGUAUAUGCAUAUGUAUCAACAGUUGUGAGAAAUAUGUUCACAAAGUUUUCCUGCAUAGUUACCUAGAUUAGCCAUCAAGGCUUCAAGUAUCGAACAGUUUUUUUGAUUUACUGCUAUACAUGAAAUGCCAACAUGCAAUUUGUAAGGUAUAUUAGAUCAUUAUUAAUUGAAACAUUUAAUUGAUUUUAAUAUAAAAUGACCUGUGGCUAGUGGACAUCAAGGACUCCAUAAAUUUUAAAUAACCUGGUGCCAUACUUUAUGGAAAAUUCAUGGGUUGAUUAGUUUCCAUACAAAACAGAUUUCAGAUGAGGUCAUGAAAAGGAAAGAAAUUUUUCUUUAAUGCAUAAACUCAUUAGAACAUGGAAAGAAAAAGACUAUUUUUCCAAAGUAUCAAUGUCCUGAUAUACAUGUUCAAUGCAGGGUAUUUAGCCUACUCAUAGCUAGAAAUAUAAUUUUAUUUUUAAACAGUUCUUGACUGCACUUUCCCUCAAGAGUCUCAGUACAAGAAUUCCCCUUUAGAGUUCCCGUUGUGGCACAACCGAAACAAAUCUGCCUAGGGACCAUGAGGUUGUGGGUUUGGUCCGUGGUCUCGCUCAGUGGGUUAAGGAUCCAGCACUUCCAUGAGCUGUGGUGCAGGUCACAGACACAGCUCAGAUCCCGUGUUGCUAUGGCUGUGGUGUAGGCCAGCAGCUGUAGCUCUGAUUUGACCCCUGGCCUGGGAACCUCCGUGUGCUGCAGGUAUGGCCCUAAAGGGAAAAAAAAAUUUCCCCUUUGAAUAGUAACAUCUACCAAUAAGAUGGCAUUUUCCAAAGCCCUGAGGUGGCAGAGUGACUUCAUAUAAAGCAGGUGUAUGUCUUGUAUGGUGAUCCAGUUGAAUGUGCGGAUGAUAAAGGGACAGAAACUCGACAGGCUUCAAGCCGCUCCUAAGAUACCUUCGAGAGCCUGAAGAGACCACCAUUACUUGGUGAAAUGCCACACUCUGUGUGGACCUCAAAGGGAGUGAGUUGUCACCUCUAAAGAAUCUUCAUCGUCCAGCUUACUACGUGAUCUCCACUCGGAAUUCCAUGCCUCCUUCCACGACCAAAUUCAAACCCAGUUACACUUUUUCAUCUGAACAGAGCAGCAGCACCUCCUUUCAGAGGUGACGCUGGGUUUGGACCCUCCCUCAUGGUGGCAGUCACCGCUACUCCAUGGCAGGGCAUGUGUCCAGCUUCUCCCACCUUCUUGUCCUGGCUGCAACCUGGCGCUCCCUGCGUCACCUUCUCUUUAGCACUAACAGUUGCUCCUCUCCCAUCCUGGGUUUCUCAGGAUCUGACCACAGGAUGCGUCCUCCUUUCCCCCCACUGCUGCCCCUCUAAUCUUCUAAGUCACAAGUCACAUAGGACUUUGCAGCUCUUUACAAAGCUGCUUUGAAUGAAUGAGGCACGGCAGACUUUUCGUCAGAGGAAUGACAUGACAUGACUUGCUUUAGAAGAAUCCUUCCAACCACAAUGUUGAGUACAGAAUGAAGGUUUGAAAGAUGGGCAGCAGGAGAACAAUUGGAGUCACUGCAGUAACUUCCAAAAGAGACGAUGCCACGCGGGUGUUAAGAGUUAAGGUGGUGAAGAGAGUGCCCAAGUGACAUCUAUCCUGAAGAUGACGCCGCCAAGAUCUUUCAAAUCGUUACAGGAAGUGUGUGAUUAAGUAUAUGCAGCCUGAGAAAAAGCCAGUAAUCAAGGAUGACUCAAGCAUUUUGAUCCGAACAACCUGAAAACAGGAAACAGAGUUGCUGUCACUCCCUUUUGGAGGCUGAGUGGGGCAGAUUUGGGGAGGGGGAGGUAACGGUUAAUUUGGGAUAUAUUCCGAUUACGUCAUCAGUUUUAUUUCUAGGUGAACAUGCAGGCAAUGGCCAUAUGAGACCGAAGUGCAGAAAACGUGUCUAGACUAAUAUAUAUUUGAGCUAUGAAGGAUUUUCACACAUAACUUUGAUUGUAUCUAACUUUCGGCUUUAAUCAGUAUUAGAUUAUAAUCUCACAUGAGAUGCUCCCUCCAUAUACCUUCUAUUAUUUAUAAAAUACAUCUUAACCACUGUAGUAAUGAUGAAAUUCAAUAAGAGAAAGGUGAGGAUCAGUAUUCAGUCUAUUUAAUUACUUUAACCAAGCAUUUCUAAACAGAAAAUAAACAUGUUCUGCCAAUUAUAUGAAAAAUUAAAAAUUAAAAAAAAAUCCCCUAAGUAUAUCUCACUUGAUCUUGACAAUGGAUCUUUCAUCAGAGGCCAAAACCAGACAAAACUCAACAGUACAAGGAAUUGGAUUUCACUGCAGUGGGCUUCCUUGGCAGUUUACAAGAAAUAAAAAUCUGGAUCGAUCUUUAAGAGACAGGGUCCCCAAUCUGGCACUGCCUCCGUACGUAACUAUUUAGAAAUUUUCUGUUAACUUAAUCAAUCAAGGCUCUCCCAGCAAAUAACUCAGGCUCCAAAGCAGCAUUAUGGAAAGAAUACUUAUUGGAUUUUGAACUCUAAGUUCCUUUAUUAUUUAUUAAUGGUAACAAUGUUUCUCACUGAUGGUUGGAGAGAAAACCUACCCUAUCAGUGUUAAAAUAAAGAGCAGAAGUCCCCAUUGUGGCUCAGUGGCAACAAACCUGACUAGUAUACAUGAGGAUGCAGGUUCCAUCCCUGGCCUCCCUCAGUGGGUUAAGGAUCCAGCUUUGCAAUGAGCUGUGGUAUAGGUUGCAGAUGUGACUUUGAUCUGGUGUUGCUGUGGCUGCGGUGUAGGCUGGCAGCUGCAGCUCCCAUUCGACCCCUAGCCUGGGAACCUCCAUAUGCCAUAGGUAGAGCCCUAAAAAAUAAACAACAAAUGCUUUAGUGUUGAUUAAAACAACUUUACACGAUUUCUCUCCCCCAACGCCCUGGAAAGAAGAACAACAGAAGAAUAAUCCUAAAAUGCAAAAUGAGACUGACGCUUGAUGAGAAAGGACGAAACAGGGGACAGAGAAUGAUUUCUUGUAAAGUGUGUGCUUAUUAUACAAAGUUGAAGAGUAAUUGGAUGAGAGAAAAUCAAGCAAUUAUUAUCUGAUGUGAAAAAUAAUGUGUCUAGUUUCUGAAACGACCUCAGAAAACAUCUCAUCCCUUAACGUGGAGAUGUUUUCAAACAACAUUCAAUAAAAUAUCAGAAAAACACAGCCUGUGCUCUUAAAAGGUCACCUAUGUUUGGAGGAAACAUUAAAAAAAAAAUGCUGAUAAACAACAAAACGGACAACCGUGCAAAUGGCAAGACUGAAUGUAGAGGUCUUACACUUUUCUCCAGUUUGGAACAGAAUGUGAAGUGAAAAUAUUACUAUAUUAGAAAAUUUUUGUAUUUGCCAGUGAUUCAAGGUAAUGAAAAGGCUAAAUCUGGCCACCUGGCAGAUCUUGCUUUUAUUAGAGUGCUCUGGUUUGGUAAAUUGGAAUUUGAGGCAGUUUAUCUUCAAUGCAAUAAUACCAGGUUAUAUGGAAAAA
ensembl:lncRNA